rnacentral:rRNA from 1 species
GACGAACGCUGGCGGCGUGCUUAACACAUGCAAGUCGAACGGAAAGGCCCUGCUUUUGUGGGGUGCUCGAGUGGCGAACGGGUGAGUAACACGUGAGUAACCUGCCCUUGACUUUGGGAUAACUUCAGGAAACUGGGGCUAAUACCGGAUAGGAGCUCCUGCUGCAUGGUGGGGGUUGGAAAGUUUCGGCGGUUGGGGAUGGACUCGCGGCUUAUCAGCUUGUUGGUGGGGUAGUGGCUUACCAAGGCUUUGACGGGUAGCCGGCCUGAGAGGGUGACCGGCCACAUUGGGACUGAGAUACGGCCCAGACGCCUACGGGAGGCAGCAGUGGGGAAUAUUGCACAAUGGGCGGAAGCCUGAUGCAGCAACGCCGGGUGCGGGAUGACGGCCUUCGGGUUAUAAACCGCUUUCGCCUGUGACGAAGCGUGAGUGACGGUAAUGGGUAAAGAAGCACCGGCUAACUACGUG